GACGAACCGUGCGAACGUUGUUCGGAAUCACUGGGCUUAAAGGGCGCGUAGGCGGGCAGUCAAGUCAGGGGUGAAAUCCCACGGCUCAACCGUGGAAGUGCCUUUGAUACUGGCUGUCUCGAAGGAGGUAGGGGCGUGCGGAACUUCCGGUGGAGCGGUGAAAUGCGUAGAUAUCUGGAGGAACACCGGUGGCGAAGGCGGCAUCCUGGACCGGCAUUGACGCUGAGGAGCGAAAGCCAGGGGAGCAAACGGG
rnacentral:rRNA from 1 species